AUUGAACGCUGGCGGCAGGCUUAACACAUGCCAGUCGAGCGAGCGGCGGACGGGUGAGUAAUGUCUGGGAAACUGCCUGCUGGAGGGGGAUAACUACUGGAAACGGUAGCUCAUCCCGCAUAUCCUCAGAUGUGCCCAGAUGGGAUUAGCUAUUGGGUGGGGUAAUGGCUCACCUAGGCGACGAUCCCUAGCUGGUAUUCGAGGAUGACCAGCCACGCGGGAACUGAGAAACGGUCCAGACUCCGACGGGAGGCAGCAGGGGGGAAGAUUGCACAAUGGGCGCAAGCCUGAUGCAGCCAUGCCGCGUGUGUGAAGAAGGCCUUCGGGUUGUAAAGCACUUUCAGCGAGGAGGCGUUACUAGCAGAAGAAGCACCGGCUAACUCCGUGCCAGCAGCCGCGGUAAUAC
rnacentral:rRNA from 1 species